ensembl:lncRNA
AUGAAUUUUAAAGCUGCCUGGGAUGGAUUAUUGAAGGACGCCAUUAGGAACCUCUACAAGUGCAAUGCAAGCAUCUUUUUCAGGCUUCAGCGAUGCUAUGAUCCCUGUGUCCUGUGCUGACGACUGUCAUUUUGUAGGAGCGAGAGGGGGAGAAAUGGGAUGAGUUCCUGUAAGCUGAAGUCCCGCUGAGGUUGGCUGUGAAGUGGAGAGCUUGUGGAGGCCUGCUGCUGCUGCUGCUCUGCCUGCAUCCUGCACAAACCAUAAGGGAACUUUACGGAGUGAAGUUGACGCAAAAACAAGAUUUUUUUUUUUCAGCAGACUGGCCCAGCUCAGCAAAAACUAGCUCCUACUGAGGAGAUUUUCUCGGGGAAAGUGGCUGAUCUAGGCUGCAUUAUCCACAGCCGUGUGCGCUGUCAGUUCUAAAUGACAGAAUAAGUAUAAGAAACAGAACCGGAGCCUCGCUGACCCCCCUGCUCUCGCAGCAGUUACAGGCUUAUUCUGUUGUUUCCUAAAGUGUAAGCAUAAAACCUGAAAACGCAAGGAAAGGUCUGCGGCAUAAAUAGAGUGCUAUUCUGACUGUCAGGGGCUAUUGUGACCAACAGGCUGCGUGUGACAAAAUGUACCUAUACCAGGCUCAAUUUUAGAGCCAGUGCAGGGCCAGCUGUGGUGGGGUUUCAGUGAUUUCCUAAGGUAAUGCAUUGUAUGUGGAUCCACAUUUCAGUUCCACAUUUUCAAAACUACAGUACUUAUAGCUACAGUCUACAGUGGCAUUUGUCCAGAGGUAGA